rnacentral:rRNA from 1 species
CACGUAGUUAGCCGUGGCUUGCUCGUCGGGUACCGUCUUAAAAAGGGCAUUUCCUCCCUUUCCCUUUCGUCCCCAACAACAGAGCUUUACGAUCCGAAGACCUUCUUCACUCACGCGGCGUUGCUCCGUCAGGCUUUCGCCCAUUGCGGAAGGUUCCCCACUGCUGCCUCCCGUAGGAGUAUGGGCCGUGUCUCAGUCCCAUUGUGGCCGUUCAUCCUCUCAGACCGGCUACUGAUCGUUGCUUUGGUGAGCCGUUACCUCACCAACUGGCUAAUCAGACGCAGGCCCUUCCUUCGGCGAUGGCUUGCACCAUCUUUCCUCUUUCUUCCAUGCGGAAUUAGAGUACAUUCGGUAUUAGCGGUCUUUCGGGCCGUUGUCCCCAUCCUAAGGGCAGGUUGCCUACGCGUUACUCACCCGUUUGCCCACUACGAUCCCUUUUAACCGAAAUUAAAAGUUUCCCGUUCGACUUGCAUGUGUUAAGCACGCCGCCAGCGUUCGCCUGAGCCAGGAUCAAAACUCUACUGAG